rnacentral:lncRNA from 1 species
AAGAACAUUCCACCAAAGAAACAGAGUAGACCUGGGGAGAAUAACCAGAGUUAUGAUGGAAAAUUUACUCUGAAUUGCUACUUUAUGGCAAGAAAGGUCAUGUGAAAAAAGAAUGUAAUAAGUGUAAGGCUUGGUUCAAAAAGAGAGGUAAUCUUUCUUUUGUAUGUUAUGAAUCAAAUCUUGUCGAGGUUCCUUCUAAUUCUCGGUGGAUUGAUUCUGGAGCCAUAACUCAUUUUAUAAU